UGGGGAAUAUUGCGCAAUGGGCGAAAGCCUGACGCAGCGACGCCGCGUGAGGGAUGAAGGUUUUCGGAUCGUAAACCUCUGUCAGAAGGGAAGAAACCGCACUGUGCUAAUCAGCAGUGCCUUGACGGUACCUUCAAAGGAAGCACCGGCUAACUCCGUGCCAGCAGCCGCGGUAAUACGGAGGGUGCAAGCGUUAAUCGGAAUUACUGGGCGUAAAGCGCACGUAGGCUGCUUUGUAAGUCAGGGGUGAAAUCCCACGGCUCAACCGUGUAACUGCCAUUGAUACUGCUUAGCUUGAAUCCGGGAGAGGGUGGCGGAAUUCCAGGUGUAGGAGUGAAAUCCGUAGAUAUCUGGAGGAACAUCAGUGGCGAAGGCGGCCACCUGGACCGGUAUUGACGCUGAGGUGCGAAAGCGUGGGGAGCAAACAGG
rnacentral:rRNA from 1 species